GGGUGGGUCUCCGUGGGUCGCUAUGGGGCAGAGCGGGCACUUGUGGGGCUGAGCCCCAUGGCGCCUCUCUGCCCCACAAGUGGAGGAGAUCCCGGAGGAGGAGGAGGAGGCGGCGGCCCCACCGCCGGCGCUGGAGGUGCCCGAGGAGCCCAGCCUGCCCCCGGAGCUCCCCCCUCCGCGGCGGCGCCGCGCCCCACGGCCGCCCCACUGGGACCCCCAAGUGCAGAUCCCGCAGCAGGAAUUCCGCCAGCAGCUGCUCGACCCCGGCGCCCGCUGCCGGCCCCUGGUGAGCCCCACAUCUAUGGGGCGGCCCCACAUCUGUGGGGCG